GAUGAACGCUGGCGGCGUGCCUAAUACAUGCAAGUCGAGCGAAUGGAUUAAGAGCUUGCUCUUAUGAAGUUAGCGGCGGACGGGUGAGUAACACGUGGGUAACCUGCCCAUAAGACUGGGAUAACUCCGGGAAACCGGGGCUAAUACCGGAUAACAUUUUGAACCGCAUGGUUCGAAAUUGAAAGGCGGCUUCGGCUGUCACUUAUGGAUGGACCCGCGUCGCAUUAGCUAGUUGGUGAGGUAACGGCUCACCAAGGCAACGAUGCGUAGCCGACCUGAGAGGGUGAUCGGCCACACUGGGACUGAGACACGGCACGAACUCCUACGGGAGGCAGAAGUAGGGAAUCUUCCGCAAUGGACGAAAGUCUGACGGAGCAACGCCGCGUGAGUGAUGAAGGCUUUCGGGUCGUAAAACUCUGUUGUUAGGGAAGAACAAGUGCUAGUUGAAUAAGCUGGCACCUUGACGGUACCUAACCAGAAAGCCACGGCUAGCUACGUGCCAGCCGCCGCAGUAA
rnacentral:rRNA from 1 species